ACAGUAAGCGCGAAAAUCCUGAGGCAGGAUUGGAUUUUGAUUGCUAGAGGAACAAAAGAAAGGAACAGAGAACAUGAAGAGUGGCGACCACACGGCAGCCUUUUCUUACUUCCAGAAAGCUGCAGCCCGCGGCUACAGCAAAGCGCAGUACAAUGCGGGCUUGUGUCAUGAGCAUGGCAGAGGCACCCCCAGGGACAUUAGCAAGGUAUUCCCCUGCCCCCAAGCCUGCCUUCUGUGCUGGGCUGCUGAGAUUGAUGUCUAGAAAUGAGCAGUGGGCAGGGAUGGGGGAAAGUUUGGCUUCUUUUCUCCACUUGGUUCUAGCCCAGCUGCGAAGGAAAAAUAAGAAAGAAGCUCCUAACUUCCAGGAAUUUAGACUCAAAAUUCAGGGAGGGCAGGGAUUUUGCCUUUCUUCUUUGCAACUACAUCCUCAGCCUAGAAUAGCAUCUUGAUGAAUGGAUUAAUUAAUUUUUAAAAAGUGGGAUAAGAACACAAAGAGGUUAUAUAUAAGAAUGUAUUUCGUAGAGUUGUAUGUGAAGGCAAAAAAACCCAAAAAAACCUGAAAGUUUCUUCAAUGGAAAACUGGUUAAUUACAUCUAUUUGGGCCUUAAAAUGAUGUGCUAGAUCUGUAUGUCAGGGAAAGACAUUCAUGGUGUACUAUUAAAGUUAAAAAAAUAGGUUAUAAAGUA
rnacentral:lncRNA from 1 species